rnacentral:rRNA from 1 species
GACGAACGCUGGCGGCGUGCCUAAUACAUGCAAGUAGAACGCACAGUUUAUACCGUAGCUUGCUACACCAUAGACUGUGAGUUGCGAACGGGUGAGUAACGCGUAGGUAACCUGCCUGGUAGCGGGGGGUCACUAUUGGAAAUGAUAGCUAAUACCGCAUAAUAUUAAUUAUUGCAUGAUAAUUAAUUGAAAGGUGCAAUUGCACCACUACCAGAUGGACCUGCGUUGUAGUAGCUAGUAGGUGAGGUAACGGCUCACCUAGGGGAGGAUACAUAGCCGAACGGCGUGGGUGAUCGGCCCACCUGGGACGGAGACACGGCCCAGACGCCUACGGGAGGCAGCAGGAGGGAAACUUCGGCAAUGGACGGAAGUCUGACCGAACAACGCCGCGGGAGUGAAGAAGGUUGUCGGAUCGUAAAGCUCGGUUGUAAGAGAAGAACGGGUGUGAGAGUGGAAAGUUCACACUGUGACGGUAUCUUACCAGAAAGGGACGGCUAACUACGUG